GCAUAAUGGCUAAUAAUUAGUAUCGAAACUACGGCUGGAAUCAUGAAGUCAGCUUCAUUGUUUUUCUCUGUUAAGACGUCAAUUUACCGUUCUGCUCGAAGAAGUUUUAAGAACUUCCAUGGAAAAGUGGAAUUAAAGUUGACGAAGAACGUUGAAAAACCCGAUCUAGCAACGAGAUCCUUUCCUUCGUCUAUGUUUCUUAAAAAUGAAUAUUGGAUGAUUUUGGCAUAAGUUUUUACAUGAGAUGCAUCGUCAAUGUUUAUCAUCUUUUAAAGACUUAAGGAAGUUGUUAUACAAAAUAGAUAUAACCCAUUUUUAUAUAAAUCUGUCGAAGAAUCAGGUUGGAAUUAUUACCAAUAUUGUUUUACCUCACCGUCUGGAAUGGACAUAAGAUAAUUUUGCAUUCGAACUAAAUACAAACAUAAUUACAAAACAGCUUUCAGCAUCUUGUGAUAUCAACAAAAUAUCACGGUUGAUUGGAAUAUAGCAGAAAUACUAAAAAUUG